rnacentral:rRNA from 1 species
GACGAACGCUGGCGGCGUGCUUAACACAUGCAAGUCGAACGGAAAGGCCCUGCUUUUGUGGGGUGCUCGAGUGGCGAACGGGUGAGUAACACGUGAGUAACCUGCCCUUGACUUUGGGAUAACUUCAGGAAACUGGGGCUAAUACCGGAUAGGAGCUCCUGCUGCAUGGUGGGGGUUGGAAAGUUUCGGCGGUUGGGGAUGGACUCGCGGCUUAUCAGCUUGUUGGUGGGGUAGUGGCUUACCAAGGCUUUGACGGGUAGCCGGCCUGAGAGGGUGACCGGCCACAUGGGGACUGAGGUACGGCCCAGAAUCCUACGGGAGGCAGCAGUGGGGAGUAUUGCACAAUGGGCGGAAGCCUGAUGCAGCAACGCCGGGUGCGGGAUGACGGCCUUCGGGUUGUAAACCGCUUUCGCCUGUGACGAGGCGUGAGUGACGGUAAUGGGUAAAGAAGCACCGGCUAACUACGUG